AUUGAACGCUGGCGGCAUGCCUUACACAUGCAAGUCGAACGGCAGCACGGGAGCAAUCCUGGUGGCGAGUGGCGAACGGGUGAGUAAUAUAUCGGAACGUGCCCAGUAAUGGGGGAUAGC
rnacentral:rRNA from 1 species